AUCACCCCUACGAGGCUACCAGUCGCCAUCCCCGAGGCCGUUCCUCUUAAGUCACUGACCACAGCCGCCGGCGAAGGAAGAAUAGCUGACCACAGACGCCCCGGAUUGAAGGCUCCCCCCCACCCCCCCGAAUUGAAGGCUCUCUCCCGGCCUCCCCCAAGAAAUGGAGGACAUCUGCGCUUCAGCUGGUUCGUCCUCUUACUAGCACGGCGAUAGACAAUCUUCUUGCUGGUCCAGCCGACGCAUCGCCGGCAAAUCUUCUUGCCGGUCCAGCCGACGCAUCGCCGGCAAAUCUUCUUGCCGGUCCAGCCGACGCAUCUUUGCUGGACCAUAUCCUCGCUGGACCGGUGCCCGGCUCAGAUCUUCGCGGUCUUUACCGGGUCGAUUGUCAGCUGCGGUUGACUGACUCUUGGCUGCUGCUAGCUGCUGUCUCUCUGCCUGCAUGGUUAGUGCCUUAGUGGUCAACUGGUCAUGAACUGAAGAUGGAAAUUCAAAGAUCAAAGUGUUCUGGUUCUGUUUCUGCCUGGUGCCUGUUAUUGGUGGUCUGCUUUAACGCUUGCUUUAUCUGUUCUUGGUGGUCUGUUGGGACUUGUCAGCCACUAUGUUUCAUGUUUGGUUCUGCUUUAACGCUUGCUUUCAUCUGUUCUGUGUGAUGUGGUUAUUUUAUUUGAAUCUGUACUGUGCAAUUUUUUUUA